UUUAUUUAUUUGCAUUUUGUUUUAAAUAAUCUGCAAGACUGUUUGUAGGUCGGUUUGACGGAAGAUCCUGCUGGAUUUUGUGAACUGGUGAAAACAGAUUUUCUUGUCUAAGUAGAGAGCCACAACGCGAUCAAUCAAUUCUGGAAUGGAACUGAAUCUCCAUUAAGUCACAUACUCUGGAAUAAAGUGCAAUAUGAGAUCAUUUCAUCACUGAACUGUUAUCAACAAAACACAGACAUGCGUGAAAUAAUGAAUGGGUGGAAAGCAGAGAAAUACGCUGAUUGGUCACAAGGGGCCGCUGUCUCUACACCAAAAUGAGAAGCUGCCAUCUCUGUUCUCUAAAGGAUGGACAUCACGCCUUGUCUUCAUAAACAGCCCUGAUGAAACAAAAAGAUGUGGAUGAAGCUUUAAAGGAGGCUGGUUUGCCUCUGUGGACCCCAGUUUGCCAAACAUAGAGUAGGGGCUUGUGGACUGUUCCCCUUCUCCUCCACCUGUCCAUGAGGAGGUGCCUUUAAAAAACCCUGCUUUCCCCUGUGCUAAUCAGAGCCGAUGCACCACUUGCCUUCUCUGUGUUCAGCUCUUUGUUUGUUUACCAAAAGAAGACGGACGCCAGUGUUCAUGUGCUGUUUCUGCUGCUAAAUGUAUGACUUUAACUACACAUAAGUGCUUCUACAGGCCCUUGCUUAGGUGUGGAGCAGUGUGCUAGUUUUGCUAGCUCCAUCCACUGCCAUGUGUUAUCAUUUUUGAAGUUGCUGUAUAAAUGUAUAAUAGUCAUAAACGCAAACAUGGACACUUUUGAGCGGCGUAGAUUACUUGUGUCUUUUCUGGUCCUAAAUGUUUGUGUCAUAUGAUUAAUUCCAUAAUUGUGGGUACAUUUCCAUUAAUUUUCCUUAAACUGGUUAAUAAAGAACUGGUCCAAAUUUAGUAAGGGAGCAAAUAUUUUCACAAUUGAUAUUUAAAGGGCACCUAUUUUACCCCUUUUACAAGAUGUAAGAUAAGUCUUUGUUGUCACUAAAAUGUAUCUGUAAUGUUUCCGCUCAAAAUACCCAUCAGUAUAUAAUGUAGAAUCUGCUCAUUUUGUUGUCUGGGGAGGAUAAUGUAGCUGUUUUUGCAACCUGUUGCUUUAAAUUCAAAUGAGCUGCUUCCCCCUGCCCACAUGCGUGUCUGCUUCUCAUGCUUUACAUCAGAUAAACAGUCGUCAGUGAUAGAGACAGACAUGGAUAAAGCUGAAUUAAGGUCACUAGUCAAAAAUACCAAGUAAGUUUGUUCAAUGUAUUUGUGGAGUCUAUUCACACGCAAAUGCUGUUUGCAGUACACACACACACACAUGCGCAUUUAUUGACACAAUGCGGACUUGGUGAUUAUAGAGGUUAAGAAUUAUAUAGUGAUUUUAUUCCCUUUAUUAAAAACAUGCACUGUUUUAAAACAUUCUAAACUUCUAAAAUUAUUUAUUGAGGUGCAGCUGAUCACACAGACUUGUAACAUGUUUAAAGAGCCCCUAUUUUGCAUUAAAAAAGGUCAUAUUUUGGUUUUAGGGGUCUGCAACAACAUGCUGAUAUGCGUGCAAGAUACAAAAUAUACCCACAAUUCUAGAAUUACUCAUAUGCUGACUGUUAAUGUUCAUCAUUAUAUGUGAAACAUUUUUAUCAUGACAUCGCAAUGUAAUGUCUUGUGUUAAGUGAUAGUUUACCAAAAAUAAAAGUUCUGUCAUCAUGCACUCA